rnacentral:rRNA from 1 species
AUGGGUGGGGUUGCGCCUGGCGUUAUAAUAACAGAUGAGUGUGGUAGCAUGAGGAAAGCUAUCGAGGCACUUCUACCUAAUACCAUGCACCGGUUGUGUAUGUGGCAUAUUAUGCGGAAGGUUCCUGAGAAGGUUGCUCCUGAAUUGAGAAGCGAUGAAUUAUUCUACAAGAGAAUGGAUUCUUGUGUAUGGAAUUCUGAGACACCUGCAGAAUUUGAAGAAAGUUGGAAGUCUUUAAUAUCAGAUUUUGGCUUACAAGACAAUACAUGGUUUGGAAAAUGUUACUCGAUCCGUGGGUCAUGGGUGCCGGCGUAUUUCAUGGACACCCCCCUUGCUGGUAUUCUUAGAACCACCUCUAGGUCAGAGAGUGAAAACUCAUUUUUCAAGAAUUUUAUCCGGCGCAAGCUCGCUUUUAUUGAGUUUUGGCUUAGGUUCGACACAGCCUUGAAAUGUCAGAGACAAGAGGAGCUGAUUGCUGACCACACAAGCAUUCAUACGACACCUAGCUUGCUGACAUGUUGGGAAGUGGAAAGACAAGGCAGCAUGAUAUUCACUCAUGAGGUCUUUGCCUUGUUUCAGUCAGAAGUACUUGCUGCUAGAGAGCAUUGUGAUGUCCAGGAAACCACAACUGUGGGGGAACUCAAGAUCAUGUUGAUUAGUGAUCAAAGUCAUAGGAAAAACAAGGUAAGAGAGGUACGUUUGGAAACAACAACCAUGAUUGCUAAAUGUUCUUGCAAGCUAUUCGAGUCUAAGGGCAUUGUGUGCCGGCAUAUCAUACGUGUCUUGAGGGGUGCGAAGAUAAAUGAGCUUCCAACCUUCUAUGUACUCAAAAGAUGGGAAAAAAUGUGCAAAAGGGAUGUUGUGUACGAUGAUGAAGGAAAUCCACUUGAAGAUAAUCAUGUUGACUGUGUUGACAUGGAUACAAGAAGAAAGAUCUCUGCAGCACGGGACAAAUUAGAACAUAUCAUCAGGUGUGCUAAAAAGUCGAGCGGAGGACUUGACUUACUCAAUACGGGUUUGUGCAAUCUCAAAUCAGCUAUCUUGCAAUCCGCCCCUGAUGUACCUCAGACUGCACAAGAAGAGCAAGAAUCAUUCGUUGGUAGCAUGAUCCCCGCCCAAGUUGAUAUCCUAACGCCGACUAACAUCAACGCGAGGGGUACAUGCUCCAGAAUUAAGGGCCAUAGAGACAAUGAAAAGAAGUCAGGGGCAAAGAAGAUCAAGUUAGGGGUUAAUGUACGAGUGCCACGCAAUUGCAACACAUGCAAGGAAGUCGUGUUACAUGACAGUCGUAUUUGUUCGAAGAAAAAAUGA